rnacentral:rRNA from 1 species
UGGGGAAUUUUGGACAAUGGGGGCAACCCUGAUCCAGCAAUGCCGCGUGUGUGAAGAAGGCCUUCGGGUUGUAAAGCACUUUUGUCCGGAAAGAAAACGUCGUGGUUAAUACCCGUGGCGGCUGACGGUACCGGAAGAAUAAGCACCGGCUAACUACGUGCCAGCAGCCGCGGUAAUACGUAGGGUGCAAGCGUUAAUCGGAAUUACUGGGCGUAAAGCGUGCGCAGGCGGUCCGCUAAGACAGAUGUGAAAUCCCCGGGCUUAACCUGGGAACUGCAUUUGUGACUGGCGGGCUAGAGUAUGGCAGAGGGGGUAGAUUCCACGUGUAGCAGUGAAAUGCGUAGAGAUGUGGAGGAAUACCGAUGGCGAAGGCAGCCCCCUGGGCCAAUAC